UACGGGGGGAGCAAGCGUUGUUCGGAUUUACUGGGCGUAAAGGGCGCGUAGGCGGCAAUUCAAGUCAGCUGUGAAAUCUCCGGGCUUAACUCGGAACGGUCAGCUGAUACUGCUUUGCUAGAGUGCAGAAGGGGCAAUCGGAAUUCCUGGUGUAGCGGUGAAAUGCGUAGAGAUCAGGAAGAACACCGGUGGCGAAGGCGCUCUGCUAGGCCGCAACUGACACUGAGGGACGAAAGCUAGGGGAGCGAAUGGG
rnacentral:rRNA from 1 species